rnacentral:rRNA from 1 species
GCCGUAAACAAUUAAUUCACAACCAACAACGCCUGGGGACUACGAGCAAUGCUUAAAACCCAAAGGAUUUGACGGUGUCCCAUCCUACUAGAGGAGCCUGUUCUAUAAUCGAUAAUCCCCGCUACACCUGACCACUCCUCGCUUUUCAGCCUGUAUACCUCCGUCGAAAGCUUACCGCGUGAACGUUUGCAGUGUGCUUAAUGAUUUUCUCAUCAACACGUCAGGUCAAGGUGCAGCUUAAGGAAUGGGAAGUAACUGGCUACAAUCUCUAAUUUAGAACAAACGAAAGACUGCAUGAAAUACAAGUCAUGAAGGUGGAUUUAGUAGUAAAAAGAAAAUAGAGUGUUCUUUUUAACCCGGCUCUGGGACAAGUACACACCGCCCGUCACCCUCUUCGAAAAUAUUUUUUUUAUGUUCCUAACCCGUUAACACAUUAUAGAAGAAGCAAGUCGUAACAUGGUAAGUGUACUGGAAAGUGCACUUGGCAAAUA